rnacentral:siRNA from 1 species
AGGCCAAGGUCUGAAGCGUGUUGG